GACGAACGCUGGCGGCGUGCUUAACACAUGCAAGUCGAACGGAAAGGCCCUGCUUUUGUGGGGUGCUCGAGUGGCGAACGGGUGAGUAACACGUGAGUAACCUGCCCUUGACUUUGGGAUAACUUCAGGAAACUGGGGCUAAUACCGGAUAGGAGCUCCUGCUGCAUGGUGGGGGUUGGAAAGUUUCGGCGGUGGGGGAUGGACUCGCGGCUUAUCAGCUUGUUGGUGGGGUAGUGGCUUACCAAGGCUUUGACGGGUAGCCGGCCUGAGAGGGUGACCGGCCACAUUGGGCCUGAGAUACGGCCCAGACUCCUACGGGAGGCAGCGGGGGGGAAUAUUGCCCAAUGGGCGGAAGCCUGAUGAAGCAACGCCGCGUGCGGGAUGACGGCCUUCGGGUUGUAAACCGCUGUCGCCUGUGACGAAGCGUGAGUGACGGUAAUGGGUAAAGAAGCACCGGCUAACUACGUG
rnacentral:rRNA from 1 species